rnacentral:misc_RNA from 1 species
UGUGGAGAAGGACGCCGAAGGUGGGGCUGAUGACUGGGGUGAAGUCGUAACAAGGUAGCCGUACCGGAAGGUGCGGCUGGAUCACCUCCUAACAGGGAGACAAUAAAUAGAUUGUAAUGUCUAAGUUAUUUAUUCUUAGGCUGCAAUCCUGUCACCUUAAGGUCGAUCGGUACCUCAAGUUUUUGAAUUAGUUUCACAAUUAAUUCUUUGAUUUCAGUUCCUAAACUUGUCUAGGUCACACCCAACAAAGGUUUCUCCUGGGCCAUUAGCUCAGGUGGUUAGAGCGCACCCCUGAUAAGGGUGAGGUCCCUGGUUCAAGUCCAGGAUGGCCCAUUCGUUGUUGGGGGUAUAGCUCAGUUGGUAGAGCGCCUGCUUUGCAAGCAGGAUGUCAGCGGUUCGAGUCCGCUUACCUCCACUGAAAACUAUCCUGAUAACUAAAUUUCGGAGAAAAAUUUGUAGAAGUGGCUUAGAAUUGUCUGUCUGAAAAGAACCUAGCUUCUUGUCAUCUUUUUAUAGUUGAUAACAUGCUGGGCUCGCAUGGAUUAAUUCCAUGAGAAUUCAGUAGAACCUUGAAAACUGCAUAGAUUAGAAAGAAUAAAGCAUCUCAUGGAUGCAUAAUUCUGGUUUUAUAAUUUAGCCUUAAAACUAAAUUACUUAGUUCCAGAAUUCAUGUUUAAUUCUUGAGUAAAAGCCGAGCACAAUUGAUUUUGUGAUUGUAUUUAAGGUCAAGCUACAAAGGGCUCA